rnacentral:rRNA from 1 species
AUUGAACGCUGGCGGCAGGCCUAACACAUGCAAGUCGAACGGAGUGGCGGACGGGUGAGUAAUGUCUGGGAAACUGCCUGGUAGAGGGGGAUAACGUCCGGAAACGGGCGCUAAUACCGCAUACUAUCAGAUGAGCCUAGGUGGGAUUAGCUAGUUGGUGGGGUAAAGGCCGACCAAGGCGACGAUCCGUAACUGGUCUGAGAGGAUGAUCGGUCAAACUGGAACUGAGACACGGUCCAGCCUCCUACGGUAGGCAGCAGGGGGGAAGAUUGGACAAUGGGCGAAAGCCUGAUCCAGCCAUGCAGCGUGUGUGAAUAAGGUCUUCGGACUGUAAAGCACUUUAAGUUGGGAGGCGGUACCAACAGAAUAAGCACCGGCUAACUUCGUGCCAGCAGCCGCGGUAAUAC